rnacentral:rRNA from 1 species
AGGAGUUUGAUUCAUGGCUCAGGAUGAACGCUGGCGGCGUGCCUAAUACAUGCAAGUCGAGCGAACGGACGAGAAGCUUGCUUCUCUGAUGUUAGCGGCGGACGGGUGAGUAACACGUGGAUAACCUACCUAUAAGACUGGGAUAACUUCGGGAAACCGGAGCUAAUACCGGAUAAUAUUUUGAACCGCAUGGUUCAAAAGUGAAAGACGGUCUUGCUGUCACUUAUAGAUGGAUCCGCGCUGCAUUAGCUAGUUGGUAAGGUAACGGCUUACCAAGGCAACGAUGCAUAGCCGACCUGAGAGGGUGAUCGGCCACACUGGAACUGAGACACGGUCCAGACUCCUACGGGAGGCAGCAGUAGGGAAUCUUCCGCAAUGGGCGAAAGCCUGACGGAGCAACGCCGCGUGAGUGAUGAAGGUCUUCGGAUCGUAAAACUCUGUUAUUAGGGAAGAACAUAUGUGUAAGUAACUGUGCACAUCUUGACGGUACCUAAUCAGAAAGCCACGGCUAACUACGUGCCAGCAGCCGCGGUAAUACGUAGGUGGCAAGCGUUAUCCGGAAUUAUUGGGCGUAAAGCGCGCGUAGGCGGUUUUUUAAGUCUGAUGUGAAAGCCCACGGCUCAACCGUGGAGGGUCAUUGGAAACUGGAAAACUUGAGUGCAGAAGAGGAAAGUGGAAUUCCAUGUGUAGCGGUGAAAUGCGCAGAGAUAUGGAGGAACACCAGUGGCGAAGGCGACUUUCUGGUCUGUAACUGACGCUGAUGUGCGAAAGCGUGGGGAUCAAACAGGAUUAGAUACCCUGGUAGUCCACGCCGUAAACGAUGAGUGCURAGUGUUAGGGGGUUUCCGCCCCUUAGUGCUGCAGCUAACGCAUUAAGCACUCCGCCCCUGGGGRG